rnacentral:rRNA from 1 species
CGCAACCCUUUUCCUUAUUUGCCAGCGGGUUAAGCCGGGAACUUUAAGGAUACUGCCAGUGACAAACUGGAGGAAGGCGGGGACGACGUCAAGUCAUCAUGGCCCUUACGACCAGGGCUACACACGUGCUACAAUGGUAGGUACAGAGGGUUGCUACACAGCGAUGUGAUGCUAAUCUCAAAAAGCCUAUCGUAGUCCGGAUUGGAGUCUGCAACUCGACUCCAUGAAGUCGGAAUCGCUAGUAAUCGCGGAUCAGAACGCCGCGGUGAAUACGUUCCCGGGCCUUGUACACACCGCCCGUCACACCAUGGAAGUCUGCAAUGCCCAAAGCCGGUGGCCUAACCUUCGGGAAGGAGCCGUCUAAGGCAGGGGCGAGAUGACUGGGGUGAAGUCGUAACAAGGUAGCCGUAG